GGCCGUGCCGGGAUUUGAACCCCAGACGUCUGACAUGCGAGGUGAGCGUGUUACCACUACUCCAGGC
rnacentral:tRNA from 11 species